GACGAACGCUGGCGGCGUGCCUAAUACAUGCAAGUUGAGCGAUGAAGAUUGGUGCUUGCACCAAUUUGAAGAGCAGCGAACGGGUGAGUAACGCGUGGGGAAUCUGCCUUUGAGCGGGGGACAACAUUUGGAAACGAAUGCUAAUACCGCAUAAUAACUUUAAACAUAAGUUUUAAGUUUGAAAGAUGCAAUUGCAUCACUCAAAGAUGAUCCCGCGUUGCAUUAGCUAGUUGGUGAGGUAAAGGCUCACCAAGGCGAUGAUACAUAGCCGACCUGAGAGGGUGAUCGGCCACAUUGGGACUGAGACACGGCCCAAACUCCUACGGGAGGCAGCAGUAGGGAAUCUUCGGCAAUGGACGAAAGUCUGACCGAGCAACGCCGCGUGAGUGAAGAAGGUUUUCGGAUCGUAAAACUCUGUUGGUAGAGAAGAACGUUGGUGAGAGUGGAAAGCUCAUCAAGUGACGGUAACUACCCAGAAAGGGACGGCUAACUACGUG
rnacentral:rRNA from 1 species